rnacentral:rRNA from 1 species
UACAGGGGGUGCAAACGUUGCUCGGAAUCAUUGGGCGUAAAGCGCACGUAGGCGGUUCGUUAUGUCGGAUGUGAAAGCCCUUGGCUUAACCGAGGAAGUGCAUCCGAAACUGGCGAGCUAGAGUACUAAAGAGGAUCGCGGAAUUCCCGGUGUAGAGGUGAAAUUCGUAGAUAUCGGGAGGAACACCAGUGGCGAAGGCGGCGACCUGGGCCAAUAUUGACGCUGAGGUGCGAAAGCGUGGGGAGCAAACAGG